rnacentral:rRNA from 1 species
GACGAACGCUGGCGGCGUGCUUAACACAUGCAAGUCGAACGGAAAGGCCCCUUUGGGGGUACUCGAGUGGCGAACGGGUGCGGAACACGUGAGUAACCUGCCCUUGACUUCGGGAUAACUUCAGGAAACUGGGGCGAAUACUGGUAAGGAAUCCCUGCGGCAUGGUGGGGGUUGGAAAGCUUCGGCGGCUUUGGAUGGACUCGCGGCUUAUCAGCUUGUUGGUGGGGUAGUGGCUUACCAAGGCUUUGACGGGUGGCCGGCCUGAGAGGGGGACCGGCCACAUUGGGACUGAGAUACGGCCCAGACUCCUACGGGAGGCAGCAGUGGGGAAUAUUGCACAGUGGGCGGAAGCCUGAUGCAGCAACGCCGCGUGCGGGAUGACGGCCUUCGGGUUGUAAACCGCUUUCAGCAGGGGCGAAGCUUUUGUGACGGUACCUGCAGAAGAAGCACCGGCUAACUACGUG